UUAUGACGUACUUGUACUGAUUGAGAUUUUAACACGAAGUGAGUGGCGAACGGGUGAGUAACACGUGGGUAACCUGCCCAGAAGUAGGGGAUAACACCUGGAAACAGAUGCUAAUACCGUAUAACAGAGAAAACCGCAUGGUUUUCUUUUAAAAGAUGGCUCUGCUAUCACUUCUGGAUGGACCCGCGGCGUAUUAGCUAGUUGGUGAGGUAAAGGCUCACCAAGGCAGUGAUACGUAGCCGACCUGAGAGGGUAAUCGGCCACAUUGGGACUGAGACACGGCCCAGACUCCUACGGGAGGCAGCAGUAGGGAAUCUUCCACAAUGGACGCAAGUCUGAUGGAGCAACGCCGCGUGAGUGAAGAAGGGUUUCGGCUCGUAAAGCUCUGUUGUUAAAGAAGAACGUGGGUAAGAGUAACUGUUUACCCAGUGACGGUAUUUAACCAGAAAGCCACGGCUAACUACGUGCCAGCAGCCGCGGUAAUACGUAGGUGGCAAGCGUUAUCCGGAUUUAUUGGGCGUAAAGCGAGCGCAGGCG
rnacentral:rRNA from 1 species